GGGCAUUACUGAUAAAUCUAUGGCUUGUUUCUCAAAACAUUCGUAGUUGCCGCCUAUGAGCUUUUGCCC
rnacentral:sRNA from 1 species